AGCUUGGAACUCCUGUAACCUGGCACCCAUGUUCUAGGAAGGUCCCAUACCAGGCUCACUUGCCUACAGACACAGAGACUUUAGGAUGUUCUCUUGUUGUUUUCCCAGGUACCGGGGCUCUGGAUGCCAGAAACCCCAGUGCGCAGGAUUACUCAGAUGUUGGAGAGGUUUCCUUAACCCACGCUGGCGAUGCCUCAGGAUGUUUUCCGGGAGGUCACAUAAGAGCCACAUGCCACAGAUGGAGGACAAGCUGAAUGAGAGCCCCUGCUCUACUUCCCUGAAGGAAAGAAGGAAGCCCCAUGCCAUCAGCACGAAGCCCCGCUGGCUCAGGGGUAUGAACAUCUCACCCAUGCCCGACAAUGAGAACCGUGAGGAAGGGACCAUGGAAG